rnacentral:rRNA from 1 species
UACGUAGGGUGCAAGCGUUGUCCGGAAUUAUUGGGCGUAAAGAGCUCGUAGGCGGUCUGUUGCGUCGGCUGUGAAAACCCGGGGCUCAACUCCGGGCCUGCAGCCGAUACGGGCAGACUAGAGUUCGGCAGGGGAGACUGGAAUUCCUGGUGUAGCGGUGAAAUGCGCAGAUAUCAGGAGGAACACCGGGUGGCGAAGGCGGGUCUCUGGGGCCGAUACUGACGCUGAGGAGCGAAAGCGUGGGGAGCAAACAGG